AAGGAGAUGCAUGUGAUUCAAACAUGGUGGUUCUAAGCUGCUUGUCGUUUUUCUGUUUUUUUCACCGGGACAUGCUGGCUUAAGAGACUGCGUAUUUUAAUAUGGGAAUGCACAACAAAAAAAAUGAAAACCCUGUUGUAAAUGCAGUCACAUUUUAUUUCAGCUUUACCCUCCACUUGUGAACCUGUCUGUAGAGCCUCAGCCCAUUCUGGAGGGCAACCUGGUGAAGUUUCACUGCUCGGCUAAAGCCAACCCAGCCGUCACACAGUUCAGGUGGGCGAAAGGUGGCCAGGUGAUCAAGGAGAUUUCCGGGGACACGUACGAAGCGAUAGUGGACCACUCUUUCUUCACGGAGCCGGUGUCCUGUGAAGUGACCAAUCCACUGGGCAG